rnacentral:rRNA from 1 species
AUGGCGGCCUAUCGCAAUGCCGUCCUCAAAAUAUCAGCUCGGUUCGAGGGGCUUGAAUUCCACCAUGUGGUUAGAGAAAAUAACCAAGCGGCCGAUACCCUCACCCGCAUCGGUGCUAGACGCGACCCCGUACCACCCAACAUAUUCUUAGAAAGGUUGUUGAAACCGUCCGUGGCAUGGGAAGGGGAGUCCGGCACCAUUAGUCCGGCUCCGAACACAACCCCAACUUCUGAACCUUCUGACGUAAUCGGAGGCUCUGCCACCGAAAUAACAUUUUCGGCCCACGAAAUAAUGGCUAUCAUCGUCCCGUGGACGGAGUCCUUCUUGGACUACCUUAAUAGGCAGGAGCUCCCCGAGGACCAAAAUGAGGCACGCUACAUGGUGCGACGCUCUAAAGCCUACAAAGUCCAUGAAGGAGAACUCUACAAGAAGAGCGCCACCGGAGUGCUCCAACGAUGCAUCUCUGAGGAGGAAGGGUGGUAG